CAGGCAGAUUAGUAAGCAAGACGUGAAAGCCCCGGGCUUAACCUGGGAAUGGCGUUUUGAACUGGUGGUCUAGAGUGCGUCAGAGGGGGGUGGAAUGCCACGUGUAGCAGUGAAAUGCGUAGAGAUGUGGAGGAACACCAAUGGCGAAGGCAGCCCCCUGGGAUGACACUGACGCUCAUGUACGAAAACGUGGGUAGCAAACAG
rnacentral:rRNA from 1 species